AUUGAACGCUGGCGGCAUGCUUUACACAUGCAAGUCGAACGGUAACAGGCCGCAAGGUGCUGACGAGUGGCGAACGGGUGAGUAAUGCAUCGGAACGUGCCCAGUCGUGGGGGAUAACGCAGCGAAAGCUGUGCUAAUACCGCAUACGAUCUAUGGAUGAAAGCGGGGGACCGUAAGGCCUCGCGCGAUUGGAGCGGCCGAUGUCAGAUUAGGUAGUUGGUGGGGUAAAGGCUCACCAAGCCAACGAUCUGUAGCUGGUCUGAGAGGACGACCAGCCACACUGGGACUGAGACACGGCCCAGACUCCUACGGGAGGCAGCAGUGGGGAAUUUUGGACAAUGGACGCAAGUCUGAUCCAGCCAUUCCGCGUGCAGGAUGAAGGCCCUCGGGUUGUAAACUGCUUUUGUACGGAACGAAAAGGUUUCCAUUAAUACUGGGAGCUCAUGACGGUACCGUAAGAAUAAGCACCGGCUAACUACGUGCCAGCCGCCGCCGUAAGAC
rnacentral:rRNA from 1 species